rnacentral:rRNA from 1 species
AGUGAACGCUGGCGGUAGGCCUAACACAUGCAAGUCGAACGGCAGCACAGUAAGCGCUUGCUCUUACGGGUGGCGAGUGGCGGACGGGUGAGGAAUACAUCGGAAUCUACUUUUUCGUGGGGGAUAACGUAGGGAAACUUACGCUACUACCGCAUACGUCCUACGGGUGAAAGCAGGGGAUCUUCGGACCUUGCGCGAUUGAAUGAGCCGAUGUCGGAUUAGCUAGUUGGCGGGGUAAAGGCCCACCAAGGCGACGAUCCGUAGCUGGUCUGAGAGGAUGAUCGGCCACACUGGAACUGAGACACGGUCCAGACUCCUACGGGAGGCAGCAGUGGGGAAUAUUGGGCAAUGGGCGAAAGCCUGAUGCAGCCAUACCGCGUGGGUGAAGAAGGCCUUCGGAUCGUAAAGCCCUUUUGUUGGGAAAGAAAAGAAGUAGGAGAAAACCCGGACGUCCUGACGGUACCCAAAGAAUAAGCAACGGCUAACUUCGUG